CCCACACUUCCUAGUUUGCGGUGGAUGUGGGAAGUUCACAUCUGUAAGCAUCUGAAACUUCACGGAGAAAGCUAAUUCAUGAGUAUGCUGUAUGAUAAUGAACCCUUCCCCCCUCAAGAUGAAACGUCGGAGAGGUUGAGCACCUUGAUGGAUAAAAUGCACAUCGAUCCCAAGAUUGAAGAGUUUAUGAACUCUUCAGUGGGACGAUACCUGAGUGACCA